GGGAUGUAUAGCUCAGUGGUAGAGCGUUCAACUGCAGAUCAAGAGGUCCCCGGUUCAAACCCGGGUGCCCCCU
rnacentral:tRNA from 1 species